CCUACGGGAGGCAGCAGUAGGGAAUAUUGGACAAUGGGCGCAAGCCUGAUCCAGCCAUCCCGCGUGAAGGAUUAAGGCCCUCUGGGUUGUAAACUUCUUUUCUCUGGGAAUAAAAACCGGUAUUCAUACUGGCUUGAAGGUACCAGAGGAAUAAGCACCGGCUAACUCCGUGCCAGCAGCCGCGGUAAUACGGAGGGUGCAAGCGUUAUCCGGAUUCACUGGGUUUAAAGGGUGCGUAGGUGGCUUUGUAAGUCAGUGGUGAAAUGCCGCAGCUCAACUGCGGAACUGCCAUUGAUACUGCUUAGCUUGAAUCACGUCGAGGUGGAUGGAAUAAUACAUGUAGCGGUGAAAUGCUUAGAUAUGUAUUAGAACACCGAUUGCGAAGGCAGUUCACUAGGCGUGUAUUGACACUGAGGCACGAAAGCGUGGGGAUCAAACAGGAUUAGAUACCCUGGUAGUCCACGCCCUAAACGAUGUAAACUCGACAUUAGCGAUAUACUGUUAGUGUCCAAGCGAAAGCGUUAAGUUUACCACCUGGAAGUACGACCGCAAGGUUGAACUUAAAGGAAUUGACGG
rnacentral:rRNA from 1 species